ensembl:lncRNA
GAUCUGAGAGUGCUAGGACAUCCUGCUCCUAAGGGCAUUGUUACCGCUCCCUUGCAAUACUGUUUAUAGCAUCAGCAGGCUCCUGCUCUGUUACCCCCUGAACACAAUGCUGUCUUCUCCAGGAGUGGAUCCAACAGCUCUCAGAACCUCCUCAGGAACUAUGUGUUUCCCAAGGAUUACCUGCACUUGCUUACACACCCCUAUCCUGUGUUCUGAAAACUUUUCAAAGCCCAUUCAUCUGUGACUGCUGCUGUCUGAAGUAGAGAACACUGUCAACUGCCCCAGAGGGGAUUUUGGGAGCUCCUACCAAGAAUGCCUCAGCUCCUUACUGAGAAGAUAUACAUUCCACAAAUGGGGCUUUAUUGAGAUGAGCAGAUUCUAAGGGGGCUGCCUUGAAUGAACAGCCAAAGAAAGCAGAAAUGAAGAACAAGCAAUUGCACCAGCCAUGUCGAAGGUUCAUCCACAGAGCACGUAAUUCUGAUUGGUGCAACAGUCUGGAAGAGUGAAAGACGUCAUCUCCCAAGGGCAAGUGCUGUGCUAGUGGACACUGAGGAGCUGCACGGAUCAGACCCCUCCCCAUCCUUCUCCAGCCUCUCUUGUUCUUCCUUGAGAUGUUUCCUACAGAUCUGAAAGAUCCAGGCAGUCCAUGACAUGCAUUUGAAUUUAAUCUCAGGACAUUUUACUCCUUGCUCUAAAAUUAAGACCAGGUAAUUCAUUUGUUUGUUUAUUUAUUUGUUAUAUGUAAGUACAAUGUAGCUGUCUUUAGAAACACCAGAUAGCAUCAGGUCUCAUUUGAGAUAUUUGUGAGCCACCAUAUAGUUGCUGGGAUUUGAACUCUGGACCUCUGAUAGAGCAUUCAGUGCUCCUAACCACUGAGCAAUUUUUCCAACUUCCAGACUAACUUUUUAAAUUCCCAGAAUGUAUUCUUUAUUCAGGUUACAUCCUGAUCCCAGCCACUCUCCCUCUGCCUGUCUUCAGGGUAGGAGAUUACAGGAAGGCCCCAAUUUUCAGCAGGGGAGUGGGUUUGCUUCCAGAGCAGGCAGUGGGGUCGUAAACAUCUCACUCUCAG